AGCACAGCUAGAAUAAAGCAGGCAGAAGAAGGUGGAAGGAGCAGACUUGCUGAGUCUUCUGGCCUUCGUCUUCCUUUCGUGCUGGAGCUUCCUGCCCUCGAACAUCAGACUCCAAGUUCUUCAGGUUUUGAACUCUUGGACUUACACCAGCGGCUUGCCACAUGGUCUCAGGCCUUCAACUACAGACUGAAGGAUACCCUGUUGGCUUCCCUACUUUUGCGGUUUUGGGACUCAGACUGGCUUCCUUGCUCCUCAGUUUGCAGUUGGCCUAUCGUGGGACUUCACCUUGUGAUCAUGACAUCUCCAAGAACUUCGUUCACUGAAGUCUUAAACCCCUCACAGUGACCCAUGAGGAUUGGAAUCAGCUUCUUUCAAACUCUUACUAUUGUUGAUAUUUUGAUCGCUUCCUAUGAAUCGUGAAUAUUUUAAUGACAUCUAAAAUGUGACUCCUGGCCGGGCACAGUGGUUCACGCCUAUAAUCCCAGCACCUUGGUAGGUCAAGGCGAGAGGAUCAUUUGAGGUUAGAAGUUUGAGACCAACCUGACCAACAUGGUGAAACCCUGUCUCUACUAAAAAUAGUAAAAAUUAGCUGGGCGUGGUGGAGAAUGCCUGUAAUUUGAGCUAUAUGGGAUACUCAGCCAGGAGAAUCGCUUGAACCUGGGAGGUGGAGAUUGCAGUGAGCCGAGAUCGCGCCACUGCACUCCAGCCUGGGUAACAAAGUGAGACUCCACCUCAAAAUAAAUACAUAAAUAAAAUAAAAUAAAAUGGUGUCUCCUUUCCAGUUUUCAAUUUACUUUGCCAAGAUCUAUCAUAGGAAUUGUUGCCUAUGGCAUCUACAGCCUUAUGAAAUGUAUUUCUUAAGUUAUAAGACUUAAAAGUUGAAAUUACCCCUUAAUUCAUAGGCUGCAGGAUGGAUGCUGUGUUAUCAGGCAUAGAAACAAUAGUAAUCUACUUGUACAUCUCCAUUAGGGAUCUUGGGUGACCAGAUGCAUUGCCAAUGAACAAUAAUAUUUUCAAAUGAAUCUUUUUUUCUUAUUAGAUCUCAAAGGUGGGCUUAAAAUAUUCAGUAAACCGUGCUGCAA
rnacentral:lncRNA from 1 species